ACUUCAUACCCUCCGAGAUCAGCAUCUGAACAACUCAUCCUUUGUGCCUUCAACUUCUCUCCCAAGAAGUGGGGAUAAGAGAAGUUCAACUGUAGCUCUCUCUGCUCCUGUGGGCUUUGCACCAGCUGUUAAUGGAGAGUCCAAUAGUCUUAUCUCAUCUGUUCCUUGUCCUGCCGCCUCUCUAGUUUCUCAGAAUGAGAGUGAAAAU
rnacentral:lncRNA from 1 species